CUUGGUCAUUUAGAGGAAGUAAAAGUCGUAACAAGGUUUCCGUAGGUGAACCUGCGGAAGGAUCAUUAGUGAAUUGAAUAUGUUAGCGGACCUCUUCGGAGUCCCUAGCAUCAAAUCAUAUCCAUAACACCUGUGAACUGUAAGGCUGUCUUGAAAACGAAAGUGAUUAGAGCGCCUGCCCAUUUUAUACAAACAUUAAAGUAACAAACGUAGUCUUAUUAUAAUCUAAUAAAACUUUCAACAACGGAUCUCUUGGCUCUCGCAUCGAUGAAGAACGCAGCGAAAUGCGAUAAGUAAUGUGAAUUGCAGAAUUCAGUGAAUCAUCGAAUCUUUGAACGCACCUUGCGCUCUUUGGUAUUCCGAAGAGCAUGCCUGUUUGAGUGUCAUGAAAAUAUCAACCUUGACUUGGGUUUAGUGCUCUUGUCUUGGCUUGGAUUUGGCUGUUUGCCGCUCGAAAGAGUCGGCUCAGCUUAAAAGUAUUAGCUGGAUCUGUCUUUGAGACUUGGUUUGACUUGGCGUAAUAAGUUAUUUCGCUGAGGACAAUCUUCGGAUUGGCCGAGUUUCUGGGACGUUUGUCCGCUUUCUAAUACAAGUUCUAGCUUGCUAGACAUGACUUUUUUAUUAUCUGGCCUCAAAUCAGGUAGGACUACCCGCUGAACUUAAGCAUAUCAAUAAGCGGAGGAAAAGAAACUAACAAGGAUUCCCCUAGUAACGGCGAGUGAAGCGGGAAGAGCUCAAAUUUGAAAUCUGGUGGCCUCAGGCUAUCCGAGUUGUAAUCUAUAGAAACAUUUUCCGCGUUGGCCCAUGUACAAGUCUCUUGGAAUAGAGCGUCAUAGAGGGUGAGAAUCCCGUCCUUGACAUGGACUACCAGUGCUUUGUGAUAUGUUUUCAACGAGUCGAGUUGUUUGGGAAUGCAGCUCAAAAUGGGUGGUAAAUUCCAUCUAAAGCUAAAUAUUGGCGAGAGACCGAUAGCGAACAAGUACCGUGAGGGAAAGAUGAAAAGCACUUUGGAAAGAGAGUUAAACAGUAUGUGAAAUUGUUGAAAGGGAAACGCUUGAAGU
rnacentral:rRNA from 1 species